rnacentral:rRNA from 1 species
AAUAUUGGACAAUGGGCGAAAGCCUGAUCCAGCCAUGCCGCGUGUGUGAAGAAGGUCUUCGGAUUGUAAAGCACUUUAAGUUGGGAGGAAGGGCUUUAGGUUAAUACCCUGAAGUUUUGACGUUACCAACAGAAUAAGCACCGGCUAACUCUGUGCCAGCAGCCGCGGUAAUACAGAGGGUGCAAGCGUUAAUCGGAAUUACUGGGCGUAAAGCGCGCGUAGGUGGGUCGUUAAGUUGGAAGUGAAAGCCCCGGGCGUAACCUGGGAAGUGCUUUCAAAACUGACGAGCUAGAGUACGGUAGAGGGUAGUGGAAUUUCCUGUGGAGCAGUGAAAUGCGUAGAUAUAGGAAGGAACAUCAGUGGCGAAGGCGACUACCUGGACUGAUACUGACACUGAGGUGCGAAAGCGUGGGGAGCAAACAGG